AUACGUAGGGGGCAAGCGUUAUCCGGAUUUACUGGGUGUAAAGGGAGCGUAGACGGAAUGGCAAGUCUGAUGUGAAAGGCCGGGGCUCAACCCCGGGACUGCAUUGGAAACUGUCAGGCUAGAGUGCAGGAGGGGUAAGUGGAAUUCCCAGUGUAGCGGGGAAAUGCGUAGAGAUUGGGAGGAACACCAGUGGCGAAGGCGACUUACUGGGCCGUAACUGACGCUGAGGCGCGAAAGCGUGGGGAGCGAACAGGAUUAGAUACCCUGGUAGUCCACGCGGUAAACGAUGAAUGCUAGGUGUUGCGGGUAUCGACCCCUGCAGUGCCGGAGUAAACACAAUAAGCAUUCCGCCUGGGGAGUACGGCCGCAAGGUUGAAACUCAAAGGAAUUGACGGGG
rnacentral:rRNA from 1 species